CAGUAGCCGCGGGAAUACGUAGGGUGCGAGCGUUAAUCGGAAUUACUGGGCGUAAAGCGUGCGCAGGCGGUUCGUUAAGACAGAUGUGAAAUCCCCGGGCUUAACCUGGGAGCUGCAUUUGUGACUGGCGAGCUAGAGUAUGGCAGAGGGGGGUAGAAUUCCACGUGUAGCAGUGAAAUGCGUAGGGAUGUGGGGGAAUACCGAUGGCGAAGGCAGCCCCCUGGGCCAAUACUGACGCUCAUGCACGAAAGCGUGGGGAGCAAACAGGAUUAGAUACCCCUGUAGUCCCUGUCUCUUAUAC
rnacentral:rRNA from 1 species